GGGAACGCCGAAAAAUGGUGGGCGCGGUGGCGUUCUACACCGUUUUGAGUACAAGACCAACGUUUCCUUCCACUGUGACGUCGGAUACUAUAUGAGCGGCAGCCCUUAUCUCGAAUGCUAUGCCAACAAGACGUGGUCGCAUCCUCUGCCAGUUUGCAAGAUCAAUUCAUGUCCCGACCCGGGAACGCCGAAAAAUGGUGGGCGCGGUGGCGUUCUACACCGUUUUGAGUACAAGACCAACGUUUCCUUCCACUGUGACGUCGGAUACUAUAUGAGCGGCAGCCCUUAUCUCGAAUGCUAUGCCAACAAGACGUGGUCGCAUCCUCUGCCAGUUUGCAAGAUCAAUUCAUGUCCCGACCCGGGAACGCCGAAAAA